UUUGCCAGGGCUGAGCCAUGCUUCCCUCUCGCCUGUCCUCUGCCUUCACCAGCUUCGUGUGCGCUUCCGGACAAGUGUUUGUGCAGGUGCUAUCACUUAUUUCCACAGCGAGAAUAUACACAGACACCACACAGAAAUGGGCAACCCCGUUAGGAGCUGUGCAGGGAGAUCUAACUCAUCCCAUGUGCCAAAUUCCUGUUGCCAUGGAAAUUAAACUAACUAAACUAACGUUGCUAUGAUCUCAUCUCUUACUGUACCACUAAAGAUCAUCCGGGCCAAAGAAACCUUGAACCCAUUAAGAGUCAGCACCUGGCUCCUUCCUUCUACCAGCCCCUGGCAAUCACCAGCCAACUUCCUUUUCUCUGGAUUUGCCCAUUCUGGACACCUGUUGUGAGGAGAAUCGUACAGUGCAUGACCUUUGGUGUGACCUUCGGUGCUGACAUCUUUCACGUCUAAGGUGAGUGGAAUCUCAGUGAGUGACCGGUUGACAGACACCUGGACUGUUUCUACUACUAUGAAUAAUGCUGCUGUGAAGAUUCAGGCAUGACAUACUUUUUGGAAAAAUGUUUUCAGUUUUCUUGAGCAUAUGGCUAGGAGUGAAAUUGCUGGGUCGUACGGUGAUUUCAUGCUUUUCUGAGGAACUGUCAGACUUUUCCAAAUCAACUGCACCAUUUUACUUCCCCUCCCACUAGCAAUAUAUCAAGAUUUCAGUUUUCCCCAAUUCACCAACAUGUCACUGUCCAAUACUGGGGUUUUACCCACCCAUCACGGUGGUUGUGAAGUGUUAUUUCACGGUGGUUUUGAUUUCCAUUUCUAAGAUGACGAAUUCUGCUAAACAUAUGUGCUUUUUAAGGCAUUUAUAUGUCUUUCUUUGGAGAGUGUCUAUUCAAAUCCUUUGUCCAUUUUUAAAUUGGAUUUUUAUUAAGUUUUUGAAUAUAUUCUUGAUAUCAGGUCCUUAUCGUGAUAAUGUAUCCUGUUCUGUGGGUUGUCAUUUUACUUUAAUAGUAUCCUCUGAAUUGAACAUUUUUAAUUUUGAUACCGUCUUUUUCCCUUCAGUUGCUUGUUAUAGCUCUAGACGUCUCAGCCAAGGAAACAUUGCCUAAUCCAACCUAACAGUUUCUCCAGGAUUCUCCCCUAAAGGUGUUAUGAGCUGAACUGUCCCCCUCCCCCAAGAUUCCAUGUUAAAGUCACAACCCCAGAAACCCAAAAUGUCACUGUAUUUACAUACAGGGCCUUUAACUUGGCAAUUUAGGUCCCAUAAGAUCUUAAAAGUAGGCCCUGAUCCAGUAUGACUGGUGUUCUUUUAAGAGAAUUUAGACACAGUCCUCAGUGCUGCAUACACGUGAGAGAAACCUGUGAGGACACAGAGAAGAAGCUGUCUACACAGCAUGGGGUGAGGCCCCAGAGAAUCCAACCCUGCCCCCCUCACCUUGAUCCCAGGCUUCCAGUCUCCAGAAAAAAGGAAAUAAGAUGCUAUUGUCUAAGUCGCACGGUCUGUGGUGUCCGUUAUGGUACCCAGCAGACUGACAGAAUGGGUCUCAGUCAGCUCCUUACAUUGGAACCAUGUUGAGCUUUGCGUGUAGGGUGAGGAAGGGUCCAGUCCAUCCUUUUCUAUGUGGAUACCCCAGUUGUCCCAGCACCAUUGAGUUGUGAAAGGAAAAAAGUAAAGCAACCCUUGCUGUCCUCUCUCCAUCAACAGAUUAGAAGAUACACUGAAGAAUCAUGGACAAUUUUGUCGGUUUAAGCCAGUGGUUUUCAAACUUUUGGGUCUCAGGAACCCUUUGCACUUUAUUAAAGAGCACAAAAAAGCUUUCUCAUCAGGCCGGGAGUGGUGGCUGCUCAUGCCUGUAAUCCCAGCACUUUGGGAGGCAGAGACAGGUGGAUCACUUGAGGUCAGGAGUUCGAGACCGGCCUGGCCAACAUGGUGAAACCCCGUCUCUACUAAAAUACAAAAAUUAGCCUGGCAUGGUGCUGAACACCUGUAGUACCGGCUACUAGGGAGGCUGAGGCAGGAGAAUCGCUUGAACUCAGGAGGCAGAGGUUGAAGUGAGCUGAGGUCACACCACCGCACUCCGGCCUGCGUGGCAGAGCAAGACUCCGUCUCAAAAAAAAAAAAAAAAAAAAAAAAGAACAUAAUUUAGUUUCUUUUACAAGGAUAAAGUCAUUACAUCUUAACACAGUCUUAAAGAAGAAACCAUUUUCCAAAAUAAGCAGCAGCGUGGCAACAGUUUGUGCUGCUGUGAAAACACCUAACAUCUCUGCACCUCAGACAGCAGGAUUCUCAUGCCUGCAUCUGCGUUCAGUGGGCUGCAGAGCCAUGGCUGAAGUUUAUGAAGAAAGUCCGACCCCAUACUGAUAUACAAUUAGGAAGCAGUAUUUUCAUUGUGUUUUCAGAUCAUUUUAGGUAUUCUCUGCUGCCAAAUGUAACAAGUGGCACUUCCGUACAGGCUGUCUGCAACACAGAGUCUGUGCUCUGGUCGACGGGCCUUUCUGCCCCAAUUCCUUCUAAGUCGACUGGUCCGUCUUGCACUUGAAUGGCUUUUACCAGCACACGAUUUUGUAAUCACACAUUGGUUAGAAAAUACUGGUUCAGAGUUAUGAGCGGCUUCCACAUUUCAUUAUAUGUCCAAAAAAAAAAAAAAAAAAAAAAAAAACCCCACAUCAGUAUCACCAUUGAUCACAUGAGAAAGUGGUGGACACAAGAUUUUUAUGUUUUAAUAUUCGCUGGAAAGCUCAAAUGUCUAUCAUUGGGAAAAAUGUAAGGUACUUUCCUUGAGAUGAAAGUCAUUUUGUUCAUUUUUCAGGCCACACCUGCAAAUACCUCCAUCUGAAGUGGCAUCUUUUGUAAGUCAUUCUUUAUAUAAAGGCGGCCGUUAGUGGAACAAGUGGUUCUGCAGGUUCAUAGUUCAGAGGCACCAGUGCUCUCCCAAGAGAUAACCAUAAAAUCCGCAGAAGACGCACCUGUGCGCACUUCCUGUUUCUCACUCAGAACAUUCCAGAAGGAACCCUGAAUCCCAAUGCCACAGCGGGACUGAAGUUUGCUCUCACCCACACAAUAAACCCAGGGAGCUCCCCCAGCCCCCACCCCGAGGCCACAGCCUUGGUCCUCUAUCUGGUCUAGGGGGGCUCCUGCAGCUCCAGCCUAACAGGGAACAGAAGGCACCCACAUGUCACAAAGCCCUCCCAAGGCCCAGCGAGCACUUCUGCUUAUGUGCCAGCCAAGUGCGUUUGACAAUUCUACAGCCAGCUGUACGGCAGGUAGCGAGGUACCCAGCAAAUACUCAGGGCUCACGUUACUAAGGAAGGUGCACAGCGAGGUACCCAGCAAGUACUCAAGGCUCACGUUAUGGAGGAGGAAACCAGGCAGAUAGUGAGGUACCCAGCAGGGUUCACGUUACCCAGGAGGAAAGGAGGGUAGAGACAAGGGGGCUGGAACAGUCUGUCAUAAGCUUUAGCAUUUACAAGGCUCGCUGAAGAUUAUCUGAUUUGAUCGUCACAACAGCUCACAAGAUAGGCAGAGGCAAGACUAUUUUCACUUCAUAAAAAGAGAUCCCGAGAACUGAUGAUGACCACGUGCUCUUCCCACAGGCUCCCAGAAAUCCUCCUCAAAUCAUCUCUCAGUUGUAUACAUGUGAUAAUAUCUCAGUCACGUCCCCUCUCUGCAGGGGAAUUUUACUGCCGCCCUGCUGUUCCUUCGCACCCCUGCCCUCUCCUGCAUUUCAGCCAUGCCCACCAUCCAUGGGGAGUCUGCACCACCCCACCCCCGCUGCUGCUGAUGGCUUGGGUCACGCUUACCUUUCAUUUCCACCUACAGGGACCUGUUCUUCCUUCAAAUGCAGCUCAAACUCA